CAGAGAGUAGUUUAAUGUAGAAUACCAGCUUUGGGAGUUGGAGGUGGAGGUUUGAGCCCUCUUUCUCUGA
rnacentral:tRNA from 1 species